CAAAGUCAAACUUACCUUGUCUCGGAGUUUACCACUUUCGCCGCUUGGUGCGCUUGCAUCUUAAAAAUUAUCGCGAAUGACCAUACCAGUAAAUUCUAUCCACUCUAGUUAGGGAUGUUCUGUGAUCAACUCUCACAUAUUUCGCAGUCGCACAUCGCACGUUUUGUGGUUUCAAAAUGGCGGUUUUGUAGUUGAUCGUGGUUAUAUCAUGUCCUUUCUGUUAUUUGAUUUUGUUUUAUCAUAUAACUAUUCAAAAAUAAGUACCUGCCACCAGACCAUCAAAAAUUUUUACGUGUUAUAUAGAAUGAAUGAAAUCAUUAUGACAUUAAGAUGUCACAUUAAGAAUUCACGUGGAUAUGGAUGAAAAGUCUGAACAAAAUUGCUGAAACAUUUAAUAAAAACCAGGGUUUUUUAUGUGUACUUACUAGAAUUUGCUAAUUUUAUGGUGUCUGUUGCAAAGUUGGAUCAAUUGGAUUGAUAUUGGUGAAUAUUUUGUCUAAAGAACUGAGGGAAGUGUACUGAGGAGAUUCGCAACGUUUUGAGCAGAAAUUUUGUAACAUCUUGAAAAAUUUAUUGCAAAGGAAUGUUUGGGGCAAGCAUGUUGCAAGCAGCGAAGGAAGAUUUUUUUCUUUACAAAUACAGGCAAUUUGGAAAGCUGCUAAUGACUCGGCAUCUUCUCCUGUUUUUGAAAGGAAAUACUUGAGGAAUGCAUCACGGUGAAUCAUCGUCCCUAGCCAAGUGAAGGUAGUUGGUCUAAAGCUUACAAACGUACUGAGAGGAAGAUCGUCUUCAGAAUCAAAGUGAUCAUUAUGAAUUUUAUUUAAGGUAAUGUGGGAUAAGUGCACCCCUUUGUUUGUUUAGUUGAAUUUCAAAAUAAGAAAAUUUCAAGUUCGACAUUUUCAUUGUUAUGAAUGUUUCUAUACACCUGUGCUUUGCGCAUACGAAUCUCAAAUUGAAUGCUUCUUUAAAAAUGCAAAUAUCUCUAUUUGGGACAUGGUAAUACUUUUACAAAGUCAUUUUCCGUAAAUUCAGCUACAUCAUCAACAGUUGGGAGGUGGAACACUGAUAUUCCUUUAUGAAAGGCACUUUUUCUCGCAAAUUUAACUUGUAGUAUAGGGUCAACUUCAAUAAUUUGUCUAACAUAACGUUUGAUCA